CCGCGCCGGGGCUCGGCCCCGAGGCCGCCGCGGGACGGGCCGGGCCGUGUCCCUCCCGCAGCCUGAGCGUGGCGGGAAGCGGCUCCCUCUUGACCGUCAGCACGUCGCUUUCCCUCCUCUCAGCCUCGCCGGCCGGCUGCCUGCAGCACCUGCUGAAGGACGGAGGUUGGCCCUGCCUGGCUCCCACACGAGGAGAUGGUGGGUGAGCAGCGGUACCGGCCCCUGCUCGGCUCCGCGGGGCCGGGUAAGGAUAACCGGGUGGUUUUCGUUUCUCUACAAAAGCUGAAGAAAAGAGACGCCGUAGCAAUCCCCGUGGAACCUGCAGAGCCAGUUUGAGAAUGAAAAGCUCGUGACUGACAACGUUCUGCUUUCUGUUCUCCUGAACUUUAUGCUAAACUUUUACAGCUGUAAUUGUCUCAGAAGAGUGCAGCUUGUCUCGGGUGUAACUUGCAUCUCCUAGUGCCCUUGCUGCCUGCAGCUUUAAAACCCUGCCUUUGGAGAAGGGAGAAGAGCAACUGACAGCAGGACUGUGUUCCAAGAAAAGAGCAAUAUAUUAUGCACAAGAUGUCUCUGAAUGCAGCACUUUCUGAUUGCACCAGGACUCUACACUUCUCUGUCAACAGCAGAAUGCAAGCAAGCCUUGCUGUGAAGCUUGCAGGAGUUGCAGUAACAUUGAAGACAUGAGCAAUGACAUCAGCAAGUCUAGGACCUUCAGUGCAAGCUCUUCAGGAAUUGGAGCAUAUUCCGUGAUGCUUUGUCAGCAGGGUUACACCAACACUAGAGCUUUUUUUAGCUUUUUGUGUAAGGCAGGACAACCAGAUACUAUGCCAAUACAAUGAGACAAAGAGGGGUGCUGACCAGUCACUGAAAUCCCCCUUAAACUUAGUUUUGUCUGAGUGAUCAGCAAGACAAGAGUGCCUGACACUGGAAUGAGUCCGUAGGGUGCACAGCUUGGCGAUUAGUCAGUUCUCAUUACCUCUUCCUCCAAUUAACAGCAAGCAAAUCGGUGCUCCUGUGUCAAUGGGGACCUCAGGAGAAACUCCACUUACCCAAAAUGCUGCCAGAUGUCAGCAGAAGCUCCAGUCUCCCUACUCUACCUUUUUGUACUUUUGCCACACACAAUUGGCUGUCACCAUGGUUGUGCUUCUGUCACUGCAGCCCUUUGCUUGUGUUCUGCCAAGAAAUGCAAUGGAGGGGUCGGAGCCUAGCUCUGCCAUCACGUACUCCUGCACUUCAGCCCCUUUUCAUGUUUGUCCCAACCAAACAGGAAUCUAACCUGUGAUCCUUUUCGAUACAGCUCAUCCCUCCAUUUGGAUCUUCCUCUCUGUCUUGCCAUCUUUGCAGUUUCUGUUGUUAACAAGUUUUCCCUUGAGCAGAUUAGGGCAUUAGAUCACAGACAUCAUGCUUUCUUAAACCUUAGCAUUUAUAGUAGGUGUAUAGAGGUGGAAUAUGAGUUAGUGUUCCCCAAAGUAUUUAUUAUGAAGGAUUUUUAUGUACUUUUGGUGUCUGCAGGCUGUGGAAGAAGCCAGCUUGUCACAGUGCCCUUCCUUAUGCAGGUGUCUUUUUUUUACCUCUUUUUUUUUUUCUUCAAUUCACUUAUCUGCAACUUGUCAGAAAUAAUUAAAUGCUGUGAUUGCUUUGGUCUCCCUUCUGUGGGCAUCUACCCAACUCAUAAAUAAAAUAGUAGCUCCCCUGAGCUCUGUUUCUGCUCAGGUAGAGCUGUUAAGGUAUGCUCAGCAAUGCUUUGAGGAAAAUGAGGAACUCAAUUGAACAUAUGUUUGGGAGGGUCCUAGCUUGGCUGUUUUCUAAAACCCAAAUCCUUUUACUCAGAUACAUUAGGUUUUGCCCAUUAACAUUAAAAAUACAUUUAUCCCCAGGUAUUUUUACAAUCCUCCUUUAGUCCCAAAUUGGCAUGGGCAACAGUGCUGUCUGAAAUAAAUGAAGUGUGUGAAGAUAGACAGUUUAAAGGUGUUGAGGAAUGCAGCUGUUUCAACUCUCACCUCGUGUGUUAACAGGUAUGUUUUUCCCUGUAGGACAAUAAUGCUUUUCUCUGUGCCAUUUUAUGA